AUCAAAUUAAUGGCUAAAUCACGUAAUGGAGCGCUCGAGCGUGUCUCAUUGUCUGUAGGUCACGUGAUCUCGGGAACGGUAAUGUCGCGUGUACACAAGUGCCGAGCGAUCAUAACAGUCCUUGAGGCGACAGUAAAGGGAUCGGGAGACGUGGCGCGCGUGAUUUCCGAUUUUCCGAGUCGAUUUUUUGAAGCGUACGCGAGACGCGUUAUGUUAUUUCGCACGUGCAAUCGUCGUGCUACGGUCGUCUGGAGCGGUGGCAGCAUCCUUGGAUCGUGAAGGUAACUACACUGAGAGAAAAAUGGUCUGAUGGACUUUGUGGCCACACACGAUGAGUGUGAUUCCCGGAGGUGCGGUUUCGGAGGAUACGGAUGCUGCACCGGAGGAUCCGGUUCAGGCAUCCGAGCAGGAUCGGCUCGAAGAUAGGUUUAAAAAGAACGACGGGUAGGAUGGGCCGAUUUUAGCCUAAAAAGUGUAACAAUUUUAGCAGAACGCGGCCGAUCCUGAGUUCCCGAUAAUCGGUGAGUCAGAAACAGGGUGA